CCUACGGGGGGCAGCAGUGAGGAAUAUUGGUCAAUGGGCGCGAGCCUGAACCAGCCAAGUAGCGUGAAGGAUGACUGCCCUACGGGUUGUAAACUUCUUUUAUAAAGGAAUAAAGUGAGGCACGUGUGCCUUUUUGUAUGUACUUUAUGAUUAAGGAUCGGCUAACUCCGUGCCAGCAGCCGCGGUAAUACGGAGGAGCCGAGCGUUAUCCGGAUUUAUUGGGUUUAAAGGGAGCGUAGAUGGGUUGUUAAGUCAGUGGUGAAAGUUUGCGGUUGAACCGUAAAAUUGCCAUUGAUACUGGCAGUCUUGAGUACAGAUGAGGUAGGCGGAAUGCGUGGUGUAGCGGUGAAAUGCUUAGAUAUCACGAAGAACUCCGAUUGCGAAGGCAGCUUACUAAGCUGCCACUGACGUUGAUGCACGAAAGUGUGGGUAUCAAACAGGAUUAGAUACCCUUGUAGUC
rnacentral:rRNA from 1 species